UCCAUGAAUCACACUUACCAUGCAAUGUUAUGUGCACAUUAAUAUCCAACAAGUUUCAAGCAACUAUGGCUUCUGGCUCUGGAGAUUAAUUCACAUCAGAGAUAGUCAUUAAUGGUGAGAAUCACUCACUUCUUUCAGCUCCUAACCUUUCAUCUCAACUUGUUCUUGCUUAUAAAAAGAUUUAGACCUCAAAAAAUUUGUUGAGGACAUGUUGGCAAGUUUAUAAAAAUAGCAUACAAUGGAAUUAAUGCAGCUGAUCACCUGUUCUAAUCUCUAUGAAUACAUUAAGGAUAACCCAGAUUAUAAGGAAUCAAAGGAACAUCUCCCUGCCCUUGCUGAAGAGUUCAUAGCUAUAAUAAAUGAUGCAAAGGAAAAGAUAGAACAAGAAGGAGCCAAGCAAACUAUCAUAAGUUAAUUGAUUAUGUUGCUUCCGUAGUAUUAGUAUUGUUAUGUACAAGGUUUUUAGUAUUCUGCUACUUGCUGUUACAUUAUAUCUGUACAUAAUAUUGAUCUAGUAUUUAAUGACUUAGCCCCUAGCUUUGUUUUUAAUAGAAUCAGCCAAUUUUUUGAUUCCAUAGAAUAUAUCCAACAUUCACGUCUUGUUUUAACCCUAAUUGUUAGUUCUACUGUAUGACACAAAAUUAAAAUUAUUUUUUGCAUGCUAUAAAUUUUACCCUUGGACCCUGAAGCUGCUACAACUUGUGAGCAGAAAACCUCUCAAAAAGAUACCAAAGUGUUGCUACAACAGAGAAUCUCUACACAGUUCUACUAAUAAAAAUGCUAAUAAAAAUUGUGAAUUAUGUAACCCUCCCUUAUAAUCAGAAGGAGUCCAAAUUGUUGCACUUAAAGUACCAUGAUUCUGAAAAAUGACAAACAUCAUUAAUAAUAGUAGAGUUUAAUUAAUCCUCGCAAAAUUGGGCCAAUAUUUUGCCUCCCAUUUUUUAUAAGUCAAAAUCUUUCAAUUAAAAGCUAAGAAAUUUCAGGAGACUAAAACUUGUGUAGGUUAUGACCAUAUAGGGGUAAGAACAGGGGCUAAAACCCCCUACCCAAAUUUUUUUAAGUUGGGCUUAGCCUUCCAGCUUUAACAAGCAAGAUACACAUGAAAGACAUAAACAGACAUUCAAUGGGUAUUUAAUGUGUUAUUUUUACAGAUGUAUUAAUAUGAUUUAAGCCCCUAAAUUUCAAAUUGCUUAAUAGUUCUUAAAUGGGACUUACAUAAUUAAUGCAUUAUAAUUCAUAGUCAAUGCUAGAGUAACUCCUGACUGUAAUAAUUAACACUCACUGUCCCUCGCUCUAUUUUGUCUCUCCUUCUCACUCUCUCUCUCUCUCCCUCUCUCUCUCUCUCCUUUAUAGUAAAAUAAAAAAAUAAAACUCUCUUCUGGAGAUGAUCAACUACUGCAACCUGAUGAAUUUAAAAGAUAUUAUUGGUAGUAAGAAAAAAUGACAGUACCUGAAAUACUGGACUCAUGAAGUAAACUCUUCUGGUAAGAAUGCUGUCCCAAAUA